AAGGAACGUUGAAGACGACGACGUUGAUAGGCCGGGUGUGUAAGCGCAGCGAUGCGUUGAGCUAACCGGUACUAAUGAACCGUGAGGCUUAACCUUACAACGCCGAAGCUGUU
rnacentral:rRNA from 3 species